rnacentral:rRNA from 1 species
GAUGAACGCUGGCGGCGUGCUUAACACAUGCAAGUCGAACGAUGAGGCGCAGCUUUCUGGGUGGUUUCGUGACCAACGGGUGAGUAACACAUAAGUAACCUACCCUUCACUCUGAGAUAGGCCACGGCAACUAGGUCUAAUACCUACUAGGUGCGCCUACCACCCGGUGGGUGUUGGAGAGAUUUAGCGGUUUUGGGUCGACUCGCGGCCUAUCCGCUUGUUGGUGAGGUAUUGGCUCACCAACGCGACGACGGGUAGCCGGCCUGAGAGGGUGACCGGCCACACUGGGACUGAGACACGGCCCAGACGCCUACGGGAGGCAGCAGUGGGGAAUAUGGCACAAUGGGCGCAAGCCUGAUGCAGCGACGCCGCGUGAGGGAUGACGGCCUUCGGGGUGUAAACCUCUUUCAGUAGGGAAGAAGCGAAAGUGACGGUACCUGCAGAAGAAGCACCGGCUAACUACGUG